rnacentral:rRNA from 1 species
UACGUAGGGGGCAAGCGUUGUCCGGAUUUAUUGGGCGUAAAGAGCGUGUAGGCGGCCAGGUAGGUCAGCUGUGAAAACUCGAGGCUCAACCUCGAGACGUCGGUUGAAACCAUCUGGCUAGAGUCCGGAAGAGGAGAGUGGAAUUCCUGGUGUAGCGGUGAAAUGCGCAGAUAUCAGGAAGAACACCCGUGGCGAAGGCGGCUCUCUGGGACGUGACUGACGCUGAGACGCGAAAGCGUGGGGAGCAAACAGG